UGAUCCUGGCUCAGGGUGAAUGUUGGCGGCGUGCCUAAGGUAUGCAAGUCGAACGAUUCUUUGGUCUUUUUUACUUCGGUUUAACUGACCUUCUGAAUAGUGGCAAACGGGUGAGUAACAUGUAGAUAAUCUGCCUUGAAGUUGGGAAUAGCUCGUCGAAAGAUGAGAUAAUACCCAAUAGUCUGUAUUAGCUUCGGCUUUAUACAGUAAAGCUCCGGCGCUUCAAGAGGAGUCUGCAUUCUAUCAGCUUGUUGGUGGGGUAAUGGCCUACCAAGGCUAAGACGGAUAGCUGGCGUGAGAGCGUGACCAGCCACAAUGGGACUGAGACACGGCCCAUACUCCUACGGGAGGCAGCAAUUAGGAAUCUUGCACAAUGGGGGCAACCCUGAUGCAGCGACGCCGCGUGGAGGACGAAGGUUUUCGGAUCGUAAACUCCUUUUAUAUGGGAAGAAUAAAUGACGGUACCAUAUGAAUAAGUGCCUGCUAACUACGUGCCAGAAGCAUCGGUGAUGCGUAGGGCACAAACAUUACCCGGAAUUAUUGGGCGUAAAGAGAUGCGUAGGCGUUUUUGUAAGUCUAGUGUUAAAUCCCUCUGCUUAACAGAGGACCUGCACUGGAAACUACAAGAAUUGAGAAAGAGAAGGGUGAGUGGAAUUCUCGGUGUAGCAGUGAAAUGCGUUGAUAUCGAGAGGAACACCAGAGGCGAAGGCGACUCACUAGCUCUUUUCUGACGCUGAGGCUCGAAAGCGUG
rnacentral:rRNA from 1 species